rnacentral:rRNA from 2 species
UAGGUCGGGAACUCAAAGGAGACUGCCAGUGAUAAACUGGAGGAAGGUGGGGAUGACGUCAAGUCAUCAUGGCCCUUACGACCAGGGCUACACACGUGCUACAAUGGCGCAUACAAAGAGAAGCGACCUCGCGAGAGCAAGCGGACCUCAUAAAGUGCGUCGUAGUCCGGAUUGGAGUCUGCAACUCGACUCCAUGAAGUCGGAAUCGCUAGUAAUCGUGGAUCAGAAUGCCACGGUGAAUACGUUCCCGGGCCUUGUACACACCGCCCGUCACACCAUGGGAGUGGGUUGCAAAAGAAGUAGGUAGCUUAACCUUCGGGAGGGCGCUUACCACUUUGUGAUUCAUGACUGGGGUGAAGUCGUAACAAGGUAACCGUAGGGGAACCUGCGGUUGGA